CAGCCGCCGCGGUAAUACCGGCGGCCCGAGUGGCGGUCACUAUUAUUGGGCUUAAAGCGUCCGUAGCCGGGUUGGGAAGUCCUCCGGGGAAUCUGGCCGCUUAACGGUCAGAAUGCCGGAGGAUACUCCCAGCCUAGGGAGCGGGGGAGGCCGAGGGUAUUCCCGGAGUAGGGGUGAAAUCCUAUAAUCCCGGGAGGACCACCUGUGGCGAAGGCGCUCGGCUGGAACGCGUCCGACGGUGAGGGACGAAGGCCAGGGGAGCAAACCGGAUUAGAUACCCGGGUAGUCCUGGCUGUAAACGAUGCGGACUUUGUGUCGGACAAGCUAUGAGCUUGUCCGGUGCCGGAGGGAAACCGUUAAGUCCGCCGCCUGGGGAGUACGGCCGCAAGGCUGAAACUUAAAGGAAUUGGCGGG
rnacentral:rRNA from 1 species